ensembl:lncRNA
UCGCUUUAAUUAUAUAGUCUAGAAAAGAAGUCAUUUAUGAUAAUAUUUAAGCCCCCAUCCUGACCUGUUCAAAACUUUUCAAAGUCAUUUCAAUUUUAAAACAAAUAAUUACCAAAGCAGAGAAUUUAUUAUCCUCACGUUAAAUAUUUCAUGUAAAUCAACAACCAACAAAACACUUUAGUUCCAGUUAAUCACGAUUCCUGGAUCCUAAAAUCUUGGAUUCAAAUCACCCAUUUUAGCAAAAACCAACCAACCGAUAGACCGAAACCAUGUGCUGUCUUUGGUGUCCUGUGUUGUCCUCUGUCCUACAGGGACUCAGCAGCUUCUGGACCACAUGGAAAAUUCUACCCAAAGUUGUCAGCUUUGAAAAUCCCUGUGAAGGUGAUGAAGAGUGAAGAGGAGAACCGGAAUGUCACUUUAGUUGCACGCUUCCUCCUGAGCAGGAAACUGUGGUUGACCUCACCUGGUCCUCCCCCCUUCGGGCUCGAUCGCGCCUCUAUGGAGCAGGAAGUGGAUUUCGGAGUCUGUUUGCAGAAAAACAAUAGAGCGAAACCGACGUCCGCAGCUGUUGAGCCGCCGUUGGGCCGCAGGAAAGGUAGAGACGCCGCUCCGAAGGUUCUGUUGGAGCCCGUUUAGAGGGAGGAAACAGCCCAGUAGAGCAGAGGCGAGUAUCCAAGCCCCCUUUAAAAAUGGAGCAGGCUGGAAAGGAGGUCACCAUCUGUGGAGCUGUAAGGCCAAGUCAGACACGCCAUCUAUUAAUCAAAGCCACAUUUACUGCCAUCCCUGUCACAGCCUGCCAAGUGUAUGGCAGAACAUAAUUCUUGUACCCCCUUUCUCCCGAGGGGGAUUUAAAGACACCCCUGAAAUCGGCUCUAAAAUGAGAAUUCCGAGCAGAAAGCAGCAGCGAGCCAGCCCUGGCAGGAGGCCAGCGUCCCCCGGGGUGGAGAAGAAAAGGUUCGCUUCCUGUUGGCGCGUCGCAACAGCUGUUCUGCUUGACCUUCGAGCCGCGAUCAAAGAGGCCCUCUUUGUGUGGCGCUAAUAUCAAGUGAUGAACAUUCAGCUCCCCGCGCUGCCCUUUAUUUUUCCUGCCAACCUGACAGCAGGACCUCAGCCGUCCCUCGUCGAUGGUCACAGACGCCCGUUUAGGUGAUUAUGAGAUGGCGAGUUGUUGGUGGGCUGUGGAGCCAUUUGGUGCACAUUCUUUUUUUCUUUAAAUAAAGCCAGAAUAUGACCGGUGAAGCGAGACGCGCGCCAGUGAAACGGCGUCAUGGUGGGAAAGGUCACGCUGGUAUUGUCCGCGCACGAGGACGGGCGUGGCCGUCAUCUGUGACGGACAGGUGCUGUGUGACGCAUGCCGACAUCGCAGGCGAAGCAUUUUUAGCUCAGUCGAUACCUGCAGAGGCCGCCGGAUGGAUUGCGAUCAAUGAGGCGGGCAUAAUUCACACCGAGCGUUCAUUUCCACGUGCUUAACUGCACAUACACACACACACACACACACUGAAGGAUUGGGCUGUGUACAUUCAUAGCCAUUAAAAUUUGGCCACCGCGCUAUUAUGCUCUCCAGACGAUCAAUAGCGUUUUCCAAUCAAUCACGUUGGAGGAAAACAAAUGCAGCUGUGUCUCAUUCUCCUUUUUACGCAUUUGCAGCUGCCUCUAAUUGUUCCGCCGGGACAUGAUUGGCCCCCGUAGCGUGUUCUAAAGUGAUACCAUCGAGGGUCAAGUGCUUCAAACCACGGCAGCGCACACGCCGCCCGACACUCUGCACCGUUUAGCUGACGUGCAAACGCUUCAAGCCCAUUUCAAUUAUUUACCGAAUGCUUGGCACAAAAUAGUCAGCAGUUUUGAACCAACACACAUGGUUGGACAUGUUGCCAAUCAGGCAACAAAGAUCUCAGUGGCCAAAAAGCCACAUGAAACUUCUAUAUCUUCAUUGAGGGAACCAACUUAAAGACGUUUCACGUGGAGCGGAAAAUUUGACAAAGCGCUUGGAGAUAACAAGCUCCCUGUUCCGCACUGCUGCGCAGGAUGCGACUCCCAGCGCUGGUAAAAGAAUUUAGGACUGCAGAUUUCAUAACGUAUGUUUUACAAGGUCAAUGCCUUUGAGGAUGUUUUCAUGCAGCAUAUUUAAUCCGCAAGUGUUUGAAGCUGGUGUGUCAUUAUUAAAAUAUGAAAGAAGGUUUCAGCCCCAG